AUGUCCUCCAUCACGAUCUCGAAUGAAACUAUCCAUGGAAUCAUGCGCCAUGUGAAACGUAGAUCAUCGCGGUUCUUAACCGAGACUCGGGUUAAGCUCCGUCUCGGAACCGCCGUGGGGUUAGGAGUAAAGCAUCCCGAGGUUGGCACAUCUCGUUGGGCAUGGAGAAGCAUUGGGAACCCCAAUAUCUUUCUUCGGAGCAGUUUCUUUUCCCGCCCCCUCGCCCCGGCAUAG
rnacentral:rRNA from 1 species